AUGGCAUCAGUUGUGCCAUUUAAGGAAAAGAAACUCCUGGAUGUCAAAUUAAGGGAGCUGUCAAGCUGGAUACUAAUGCGAGAUUUCAUCCCUAAAGGCAUUGCUGGAGCAUUUCAGAGAGGUUAUUGCCAGUAUUACAACAAGUUAAACAUGAAGAAAGGGAGUGUUGCCGGGUUUUCUAUGGUGCUGGCAGCUUACAUGUUUUUCAACUGUUUGCCGUUCUUACAAGGAACUUAAACAAGAGCAGCCAAGCGAGUACCACUGA
rnacentral:lncRNA from 1 species